rnacentral:piRNA from 1 species
UGGAAAGCAGUGAUAAGCAUCUGAUAGCCU